GCAAGUCGAACGAGAAAAUUCCCUUCGGGGGAUGAGUAAAGUGGCGCACGGGUGAGUAACGCGUAGAUAAUCUACCCUUGUGUACGGGACAACAUCGGGAAACUGGUGCUAAUACCGAAUACGUUUCUAAUGUAGCGAUACAUUUGAAAGAAAGAUGGCCUCUCCUUGGAAGCUAUCGCACGAGGAUGAGUCUGCGUACCAUUAGCUAGUAGGUGGGGUAACGGCCCACCUAGGCGACGAUGGUUAGCGGGUCUGAGAGGAUGAUC
rnacentral:rRNA from 1 species